AAGAGAGGCUGGCGCACUUAAGGACUGCUAAUCCCAAACUCCAUGGUUCAAGUCCAUGGCUCACUUG
rnacentral:tRNA from 1 species